AUCACCCCUCUUGGUGUCUUCUGGUGAGCUCAGCUGAAGGGGGUACCAGAUGGGCCUUUAGACGUCAUCAUGCUGACAUCCAGGACUAAAUUUGUCUGUCUUCAGACCCCUGCUGUGGAUUUCAGCUGCAUUUAUGCAAUCUGUCAUCAAACUGGUAUGCAUAUUCAACAAAGUACUGAAGGCUUUUUGACAUUUUGAAGGCAUCUAUGUGCUUCAUCUAAGUAACUAGAACUUGUAAGACUGGAGGAGGAUACUAAACUGUGGCGGGACCCUGUAGCUGACCACUGUCCAGGGAUCUCAGACAGAGCUUCCAGAGAGGGGUGCAAAGUGACAGAGCACCCACUGAGAGCAGGACAGAUAGGCAUCCACUAACGCUUACAACAAAAGAUUGAGGUUAGGUAUGUGGGAAGAUAUGAAGUUGUACUAUCUAUCUAUACUAUACUAUCAUCAUUUUUUCUACAUACUUUUUCAGACCAUAACACUGCUUGGAAGAUUCUGUUUGUACGACACUGACAGUUAAUAGUAAUACUAAUUCCUGAAUUGCACUAAUCUCCCAAAUUCAGAUUGACUUUUCAUGUCAAAAUUGUUCCAAAACUGUUCAACAUCUCAUCGUAGUAGUUCUCCUUUUCCACUUUCAAUGCAAAUAUGUUGUCAUCCAUAGUUUCAUCUCACUGAUGAGAUGGACUCAAGAACAGAAUAACUUCACGGAUCCAGAGUCUUUAACUUAGUCCCCCUUUUCUGGCUAUAAAUCAGACAUCUUUCCAACCCAUCAUGGUCUGUAAAGGUAAAUUAUGUUAUGGAGCAUCAGUUAUUCAGAACCAAAAUAACAAUUGUCACUUAAGUUAAAAAGAAGGAGAAAAAUAUGAAGUAGAACAAAUAUUUUUACUACCAAGAGUGCAGUGCUCUGGCACAAAAAUUUGUGUGAUAACCAUGCCAGCUGCUGCUUUUUUGAGUUGAUUUACCCUGAAGUAGGGUAAACUCAUAUUAUUCCAUAGCUAACUCAGCUGUGAUAAAUUUUCCAUCUGGGUACUCAGGGUUAGAUGCCACGAGAUACAUAUGGCUCAGCUCUCAUUUGAAUAGCAAUAAUUUAAUUGUAGUUCAAUACAUUUACAGGAGAGAACAAUUAUUUUUCAUUUACUGGAGCAGCUUUGUCAACUGAGAGAAAUCACUUCAUCCUGUUAAACCAUUUCACAGAGAAUAUGUGCAAAAAAGGAGUAGAGCCUAUUUCAAGGCACUCAGCAGUCAGCCAAACUGACAUCUGUCUGACAGGUGACACAUUCCUCCUUGUAAGUUUUCCCAAAUGUAACACAGUGCGUAGAUAGUUAUGUAAUGUUCACAGCUCCUAAGGGGAAGACAAGGAUAUCACACAGAAGAAGAUCUUGUACACAUAAAACAAGCCAAUAUUCAGAUUCUGUUAAUAUAAAAGAGCUGAUGUCUGUUUCCUAGCCUAUUGGGGGAAAGAAAAAUUAUGCAUUCAGCCUCUUCCCUGUCAUUUCUGGUCUUCCCCUUUUCAGAGAGUCAGCAAAAGAAGAGGCGGUACCACACACAGUGCCUUGGAGUGAUUAUUUAUUUAUGACAAUUGUUCAUGUAUUAAGCAGAAUACAUGAAGAGUAUACUCUUUAUCUUAAAUAAAGAGAUAGAAUACUUAAAGAGUAAAGG